UACGGAGGGGGCAAGCGUUGUUCGGAUUUACUGGGCGUAAAGGGUCCGUAGGCGGUUGCGCAAGUCUGGUGUGAAAUCUUCACCGCUUAACGGGAAGAGGUCAUUGGAAACUGCGCAACUUGAGUAUGGUAGAGGCAAGCGGAAUUCCUGGUGUAGCGGUGGAAUGUGUAGAUAUCAGGAAGAACAUCUGUGGCGAAGGCGGCUUGCUGGGCCAUCACUGACGCUGAGGGACGAAAGCGUGGGGAGCAAACGGG
rnacentral:rRNA from 1 species